rnacentral:lncRNA from 11 species
AAGACAAGGGCAAGUAUUGGUGGAAAAAUGAUAGAUUUUGCUUUGUUCUAUUAAUAAGUUGAAGAUAAACCCUUGGUACAGGGCUAGGUAACUACACUGAGUGUGAGCAUUCAGUUUCUUUCUCCAUGACAUCCACAACUCGGGGGAGGGGGAACCUGUCCAAAUCUGGAAGUGCUAUGCAUACAUUCAGGCCACAUUCAUAAGAUGAGAGAUGAUGACAGAAAUUUGAACUGGAAUUCAAAUUUACAGCCAGGCUCAACAAUAUAUCCCUUUGGUAUCAGUUCUUUACUAUUGACUGGUAUUGAAAUCACAGCAUUGGAGUCCAACUUGAAAACUGCACAAUGAAAAAUAAGCAAACAAAGAGGAAAAGGUUAACUAUGUCAUACUUGGACAACUCAUCUGAAUACUUAUAUUCUAGUUGUCUGCCUUUGAUGGACUGCAUCUUCUCUUUCCCUGAUGGAUGUGCAAGAUCAUUAACAUUAUUUAAAGUUAUGGGAAUCAAAGAUAGCCAUUUACUCUUACCGGUGAACACCAAGGACACCCUUUAUGAUUCUCAGGAACUCUGCAGAAAACAUGAAUUUGUUUCCAGUCGGGCAUUUCUGUAACAAAAGAAAAGGAAAUCUGACUCUCUAGGCCACAGUUGAACUUAAAUAAAUUUGGAAUUUGAAGAAGAGCUCCUACAAUCCUUUUGGGUGGUGCUAUUCUGAGCUGUAGGCCAAAUCUUUGGAGGCCUAAAAUCCCUCAUCCUUGGAUUACAGGAAUAUUCUAUAUCAGAUCUAAGGUAAUUAAAUUGUGAAAGGGCACAUCUACACAGUAGAAUUUGUGUAGUUUGACACCAU